GUAGGUGAACCUGCGGAAGGAUCAUUAACUAUAUGAGGGGAGGGCUGGGCUUCGACCUGCCCCUCUCUGACUAUUCUACCCGUGUCUUUUGCGUACUAUUUGUUUCCUCGGUGGGCUUGCCUGCCGAUAGGACACUAUAAAAACCUUUUGUAAUUGCAGUCAGCGUCAGUAAAAACUUAAUAGUUACAACUUUCAACAACGGAUCUCUUGGUUCUG
rnacentral:misc_RNA from 1 species